UCCGUAGGUGAACCUGCGGAAGGAUCAUUAGAUUGAAUUAUCAUUGUUGCUCGAGUUCUUGUUUAGAUCUUUUACAAUAAUGUGUAUCUUUAUUGGAGAUGUGCGCUUAAUUGCGCUGCUUCAUUAGAGUGUCCCAGUAGAAGUAGUCUUGCUUGAAUCUCAGUCAACGUUUACACCCAUUGGAGUUUUUUUACUUUAAUUUAAUUCUUUCUGCUUUGAAUCGAAAGGUUCAAGGCAAAAAACAAACACAAACAAUUUUAUUUUAUUAUAAUUUUUUAAACUAAACCAAAAUUCCUAACGGAAAUUUUAAAAUAAUUUAAAACUUUCAACAACGGAUCUCUUGGUUCUCGCAUCGAUGAAGAACGUAGCGAAUUGCGAUAAGUAAUGUGAAUUGCAGAUACUCGUGAAUCAUUGAAUUUUUGAACGCACAUUGCGCCCUUGAGCAUUCUCAAGGGCAUGCCUGUUUGAGCGUCAUUUCCUUCUCAAAAGAUAAUUUUUUAUUUUUUGGUUGUGGGCGAUACUCAGGGUUAGCUUGAAAUUGGAGACUGUUUCAGUCUUUUUUAAUUCAACACUUAGCUUCUUUGGAGACGCUGUUCUCGCUGUGAUGUAUUUAUGGAUUUAUUCGUUUUACUUUACAAGGGAAAUGGUAAUGUACCUUAGGCAAAGGGUUGCUUUUAAUAUUCAUCAAGUUUGACCUCAAAUCAGGUAGGAUUACCCGCUGAACUUAAGCAUAUCAAUAAGCGGAGGAAAAGAAACCAACUGGGAUUACCUUAGUAACGGCGAGUGAAGCGGUAAAAGCUCAAAUUUGAAAUCUGGUACUUUCAGUGCCCGAGUUGUAAUUUGUAGAAUUUGUCUUUGAUUAGGUCCUUGUCUAUGUUCCUUGGAACAGGACGUCAUAGAGGGUGAGAAUCCCGUUUGGCGAGGAUACCUUUUCUCUGUAAGACUUUUUCGAAGAGUCGAGUUGUUUGGGAAUGCAGCUCAAAGUGGGUGGUAAAUUCCAUCUAAAGCUAAAUAUUGGCGAGAGACCGAUAGCGAACAAGUACAGUGAUGGAAAGAUGAAAAGAACUUUGAAAAGAGAGUGAAAAAGUACGUGAAAUUGUUGAAAGGGAAGGGCAUUUGAUCAGACAUGGUGUUUUUUGCAUGCACUCGCCUCUCGUGGGCUUGGGCCUCUCAAAAAUUUCACUGGGCCAACAUCAAUUCUGGCAGUAGGAUAAAUCAUUAAGAAUGUAGCUACCUCGGUAGUGUUAUAGCUUAUUGGAAUACUGCUAGCUGGGAUUGAGGACUGCGCUUCGGCAAGGAUGUUGGCAUAAUGGUUAAAUGCCGCCCGUCUUGAAACACGGACCAAGGAGUCUAACGUCUAUGCGAGUGUUUGGGUGUAAAACCCGUACGCGUAAUGAAAGUGAACGUAGGUUGGGGCCUUCGGGUGCACAAUCGACCGACCUUGAUGUUUUCGGAUAGGUUUGAGUAAGAGCAUAGCUGUUGGGACCCGAAAGAUGGUGAACUAUGCCUGAAUAGGGUGAAGCCAGAGGAAACUCUGGUGGAGGCUCGUAGCGGUUCUGACGUGCAAAUCGAUCGUCGAAUUUGGGUAUAGGGGCGAAAGACUAAUCGAACCAUCUAGUAGCUGGUUCCUGCCGAAGUUUCCCUCAGGAUAGCAGAAACUCGUAUCAGUUUUAUGAGGUAAAGCGAAUGAUUAGCGGUACCGGGGAUGAAAUGUCCUUGACCGAUUCUCAAACUUUAAAUAUGUAAGAAGUCCUUGUUGCUUAAUUGAACGUGGACAUAUGAAUGAAGAGUUUCUAGUGGGCCAUUUUUGGUAAGCAGAACUGGCGAUGCGGGAUGAACCGAACGUGGAGUUAAGGUGCCGGAAUGUACGCUCAUCAGACACCACAAAAGGUGUUAGUUCAUCUAGACAGCCGGACGGUGGCCAUGGAAGUCGGAAUCCGCUAAGGAGUGUGUAACAACUCACC
rnacentral:rRNA from 1 species